GUGAUCCAUGCGGCCAUAAUCUCCCCAGACAAUGAUCUGUUGGCAAAAUAAGGAGAGUAAGCUUCCCAAGAAUUGCAGCUGUUCGGAAUGGAAAGGAAUGUGAGAAGACAAGAUGUGGGGAAUAGAAGUUUGACUCCACCAAAGCACUUCCUUAGGUGAGGAAUAUAUAUUUCAGUAAAAUACCUGUAAAACCUUUCCUUGGGGACUUUCUUCAAAAGAUAACAGCUGCUGGUAAAGGGGUUCCAGCGUCUUUCUUGCCACUUUUGUUUUCUUUUUGGCGAUGCAGACUCCAUUAUCUAAUAGAUACACCUUUACAUAGGGUGCUUGGGAGAGAAAACAGGAGACAUAAGUGAUGAGCUACUGUCAUGGCACCCCCAACUUACGGGCAAAGUGACACCUGCAACAGCUUAGUCUUAGGCUGAAAGAGCUGGCAGUCACAUCACUGGCCUUUUCCACGUUAUGUCACAGUCAUAAAACAACAGGUCACUAGCAGCCGUUCAGGGAGUUUCACACAAUGUUAACCUAGCCUCUCGGUGGAUUACUACUUUGGCAUCAGCUGGUUAUACAGAUUUGAACUCUGCAUUGAAAAAAGGUGAAAUGCUUCCAGUCCCCUAACCAUAUUCAAGAAGAAUGUCUUACUCAGUUUUUCAUUUGUCAAUACUUUAAUUAAACAUGCUUAAAAGUU